rnacentral:piRNA from 1 species
UACUCAUAGGAUGGAGGACAGGUGAC